rnacentral:rRNA from 1 species
GUGGGGAGUAUUGGACAAUGGGCGCAAGCCUGAUCCAGCAAUGCCGCGUGGGUGAAGAAGGCCUUCGGGUUGUAAAGCCCUUUUGUUGGGAAAGAAAUCCUGUCGGUUAAUACCUGGCGGGGAUGACGGUACCCAAAGAAUAAGCACCGGCUAACUUCGUGCCAGCAGCCGCGGUAAUACGAAGGGUGCAAGCGUUACUCGGAAUUACUGGGCGUAAAGCGUGCGUAGGUGGUGGUUUAAGUCCGUUGUGAAAGCCCUGGGCUCAACCUGGGAAUUGCAGUGGAUACUGGAUCACUAGAGGGUGGUAGAGGGAUGCGGAAUUUCUGGUGUAGCAGUGAAAUGCGUAGAGAUCAGAAGGAACAUCCGUGGCGAAGGCGGCAUCCUGGGCCAACACUGACACUGAGGCACGAAAGCGUGGGGAGCAAACAGGAUUAGAAACCCGAGUAGUCC